CAGGCAUCUGACUUUCUAGUGACUAACUUCUGAUGGGUUCCUUGUCACGAGACAGGCAUCUGACCUCUAAGUGACCAAGGCAGGUUUAUGGCAAGCACGUGUUCGGCUGUUAUGGCUGCCGAAAGGGGAGCAGGUCCCUUCAUUCUGGUGUACAUGCAGAACUCAAGCAUGGAUCAAGUGACAUUUCUGCUGCCCAGUUGUCUGGAAAAACAUAAAAAAGCCAGUGAGAAACUGUGUAUAAUGAAUUGCUCAAGUUGGAAACAAGGCUUAGAAUUUUCAUCGAUUCCACCCCAAAUUAUUGUGUAUUGUGGAUCUCAAAGUCAGUCUGCUGGAUUUUGGGGAUACUUCCAGUAUGCAAGAAGAUGAGAAAUCCACAGAACUAGAAGACAGAUGAUGCCUUCAAUUAUUUGGAAGAAACAGAAGUGAACCCAGAGAAGAACGGAUGUUAUAGAAUAAGUAUCUGAUUAUAGGCAUAAUAAAGCAAUGUUUUGAGGGUUUGCUUUACAGUGAUGACUUUGUCUUAAGGAAGUGUUUAUAUGAGCAUGAAGGAACAAUUAGCUCUACUUCUUUAUUAAAGAUAUAGCAAGAAAGGAUCUAGAAUGGCUAACUGGUCACGCAUAUAACCUUAUCACCCUUAAACUAAAGAAAAUCUAGUUUUCAGGGCUUGCUAUGUGAUUUGUAGCAUCUGCAAAAGCCAUGCAAGGUAUCUAUGAAACCCUAUAGUUCUCAUUCAUUUAUUUUGCAUUUUACUAUAUAUUCAAAAAAACACCAUUACCAGUUUUUCAAAAUAGCAUUUUUCUCAGUUCUGGAAUUGGUUUUUCUCUUUUUUAUGACAGUUUGCUACUUUACAAGAAACUUGUAAGUAUUCUAUAGUCUUUGAGAUGCCUAAACGCCUUUCAUUCUUUGGAAACAAACAUUGGAUAAAUGAGGUGAUUGAAACCCUGUAUAGCACCGCAAAUACUUGGAUUAGAGUAUAAUGUAUCUAUUUUAUUUAAAAGUGUUAUGAUAGAAAGCUGCCAUUAUAGAUUUUAGCAUACUUUUGCUCUGGUGGCAUCUUAGGCUAUCAGUCUUGAGUGUGUUUUUCCAAAAGGGAAGAUUUGUCCUGUCAAUCAGGCUAGAGGCAGGCAGUGACAAGGGCUUGGCCUGUAUUGAGGUGCAGGUCUUUUGGAAACCUCCAUUUUUAUUUUCUUUAUUAUCUUUUUGUUCUUUUUGUAUGUGAAGUGUAAAAUUUCUUAUUUCCAAAUGGAGUAGGCUCUUCCUCCUUUUCUACUGGCCUUUUGGAAGAAAAAGCAACUCCUUCUCAGUUGUGGGCUGUGAAAAGAUGAAACUGUCAGAGAGCCGAUAAAGCACAUAAUGGCUAGCAAUGUUCUGUCUUCUGGGGUUAGAGACAAAAUAGUUGAUUCAGCUAGGUCACUUGGUGUGCUAUUCAUUGCCCUGUGACUCAGUAGGGGUCCCUUGACAUUUUCUGGGACCCCCUCACUCAUAGUAGUUGCUCAUUGUCGUGGGGACAACUGAUGGCUUCCAAAUUCCCAUCUCAGAUUUUUUUUUUUUAUGAGUAGAAAGUAGAAAGUAAAAGUGAAAAAUACCAUAUUAAAAACAACAUUUAGAGAUCAAUGAGGGACAUUCCAUGGGAAAUGAAUUUUGAUUGAUUGCAAAAUCAGCUUGAUUCACUCAGCUCGUCUUUGGCUUAAAAAUAAGUUUUCCUUGUUUUUUGCACUGUGUUUGAAAUAUUUACUCUUGCUGGAAGUUGCCAUGGAAUGAAUAUAGAUACUGGACAAGAAGAAAAUGUAACAUGUAUAGAGUUGAGUUGGAUACACAAAGGAAGUUAUGGUAAAUUGUAUGUUUGUACACAGCUGUACAAACAUUCUAGGUAUAAGUUCUUCAGAGGACAUUUUCUUUUAUAGUAUGGAUAUAUUUUUUUUCUAUGUAGAUAUGGGAACAGUUUUCUAGGCAAUGUUGAUUAAAUAAAAGUAACAUUGUUUUACUUAGUAGUAAAGAUAAGGUGUUUGAAGAAAAACAGUGGAACAAAAUAAGAAAGAGAAAAUAUUUAUUGAAAUGGGUGGACUAGAAUUUUUGGCUUUUGGAGUCCCCUCUGCUUUUCAGAGAGGAUCCUUUUCCCUUUGUGUCUGCUGUGUGCAUGUGUUUCUCACCCCCCAAUAAACUCUUUUCUUUAACUGUUGAUUCUAUCUGUAUUAUUUGAGAUUUUCUCUGCUUCUACCUGUUGCACUUUAGAUUUUUCUCUUCCUAGAAAACUCACCCUUUCAAGACCCCUAGAAAGUAUCCAUUUUAAGGCCCAUAGAUUGUAUCAAUAAGGUGGCUAAUUGGCCCACAGUUGUCUAACAUGUCCUGAUCUGGCCUGGAAUUUGAGCCAGUCCAUCAGUAUUGGCCCUGCUGACAGAGAAAACAAAAGCUUACAAGACCUGUGUUUCAGGUUGCCAGUUUUUGUCUCCGGUCAGGAAGUUAAGAAGCCAGCCAUCUUGGAAGUUCACCACCCUUCUUACCUAGUCGUGGUCUCUCUCCCUAUCUGUCUACCUUUCAGAGAAUCUAACACCUAGUCCCUCAGUGCUGUUUUAAAGAGGAAGCCUUGAUAAGGUAGGAGGUUAAGUCAGGUGUCACUCCUCAGAAAUCUUCCAUUUUGUUUUCUAAGACAUGAUCUCCUGGUUACCAGUUUCUCUCAGGCUCUCUUUUCUUUUCACUUGCUUUCUCCACCCUUUCUGUAUUUGAUCAAAACACAGGUGCAGUACAGCACAAUGCCAUGACAAGAUAAUCUAGAGGCUCUAACUCAGGGGUGCCCUCAUUCGGUCUGCUAGUUCACUGGAGCUUUCUUCUGUAAGACCCACUGGUUAAAAGCACUGAAGACUUCCUACUGGUCCUCUUUUUUUUUUUUUUUUCUUUUUUUUUUCUUUUUUUCUUUUUUUUCUGAGACAGGGUUUCUCUGUAUUGCUUUGGAGUCUGGUCCUGGUACUCAAUUUGUAGACCAGGCUGGCCUUGAACUCACAGAGAUCCGGCUGCCUCUACCUCCCAAGUCCUGGAUUAACAGUGUGCAUCACCAAUGCCCGUCUUUGAUAAUAUGGAGUUGUAACAGUUACGGUUACCUGUUUGUGUUCCAGGCCCAUUUGGUCAUUUAGAGACUUAGAACAUGCUCUGAGGAACUAGAUACUGACCUCUGUUUUGCCUUUGUCCCUCAUCCACCCCAAAUUUUCUGUAGAUACUCACUUGGUUGAAGAUUCCAAUAGCCAAGAUUGGCUAAGAAUUCCUGGAAUUCUCCACUGGCCCAUAGCUCAAAACUGGCCCAAAUUCAAAAUUUUUAUUUUUUUAAAGAUCUAAACUGAUUUAAAUAACUCAAUAAGAUGGUCCAUUCCUUCCCUACCCCUUUCCCCCCAAAAUCUCCAACCUUCCCAAGCUCACUUAAAUCUUUCUCAAGGCUGUGGCUUACAGCUAUACCGAGAGCCAGAAUGCCUACUUCUGUUUCUGUAGGGCCUCCGAAUUUGUAUCUACUCCUGAGAUAGCUCAGAACUCUUUUGCCUUAUGCUUUUGGCCUAUGGUUUUUCCUCUCCAAGCCUGAAAAAUCCUGCCUAUAUCAUUAACAGCUAAGAGGUAAAAGUGUUUCAAUUUGUCUGCUCCCAUCUUCAGAUGUAUGCAAACUCGGUUUGGGUAUGGAGAUGUAUGGGUUCAGUCUUCCAGAGUCCAUUGUCUUUGGGUAUGAAUAACACUGAAAAGUUGUCUCAUGCUGUUACUCUACUAAGAAGGCUGGCUCUCCAGUUGAACUUUGGCCCAUCUGCUCCAGACCCAAGCAUGCUUGUUUAAACCUUUAUGCCAAAGUCUCUGUCCUGAGUCAGGGUGACUGCCUGACUCUGUGACAAGGAGAAGGAGAGCCAAAGAGAACAUCCCCUUGAUAACAAAUAAAUAAACUAUUCCUCAUAGAGGUUACAAAUGGCAAGAUGCUUAACUCCAUGAAUUCUCCUCCCUUUGUUUUUGUUUACUGUUGUUAAAGCUUUUGUUGAAACUGGAGCCUUCAGCAUUUUAGGAUUUGUAAGUUCAGUGAGUGUGAUUUAAAAAUGGUCUGUACACCUUAAUCUUACUUUGCUAUAAUAAGCCAUAUGUAUAACUAGGAUUCAACUCUUGCUUAGGAAAAGGAGCGUGCUCAGUGGAUUCACCACAAUGUGUCUUGCCACCUUCUUGGUUUGUGACCUGGUUGGGAUGGAAGCAUGCCCGUGAUAUUACUGCAGCUUUGGUAGAGAGAUAAACUUGGAGGUAUCUUCCAUCUUGAAGUUAUCCCCCAUCUUAUAGAAUUCUACUUAUGUUGUCAAAGUCUGAAACAACUAAUAACUGCAUUCCAAGCCUCUUCAGGAAUACAGGAUGGCAAUCACCUGAUCCACUGCAGCUGAUUAGACCCCCCCCACCAUCACCACAUGACCAGGGGACCUACUCUUUAAUGACCUGAACUACUCCAUCCAACCAAGACCCUCCUCAGCAGAAAACAGCUGUAACAGACCUGCACUGCAUUUUUUAAAUUAGAAUUUUUUUUAGAAUUAGGGAUGAUAGGUUACUGCUGAAAGUCUACACUCCCAGGCUCCCUUGCAGACUAUGAAAGUCAUUACCACCCAAUAAGAGAUGUAUCCCAUCUUCUGUUUGGGAGAAACAUGCUAUGUGUCAUCUAAAUUAAUAAAAAUGUGUGUGUCUCCGUGUAAUGGAAAGUCAUUUCUAGAGAAGUGUCAUUUUUGUCUUUGGGCUGUCAGCUGGACACAAGCUAGAGUCAUCUGAGAGAAGGGAAUCUUAACUGAGAAAAUGCCUCCGCAAGAUUGGGCUGUGAGCAGCAAAGCAUGUCGGGCAUUUUCCAAGUUAGUAAUCAGCAAACGAGGACCCUGGCCAUUGUCUGUGAGUUCUAGUGGACCUGGGUUCUACAACAAAGCAUGAAGAGCAAUCCAUGAGGAGGAAACCAAUGAGCUGCCUGCCCUCCUCUCCCUCAUCCAGCAGCUGGUGGAAGUAGAAGCAGACAUCCAUAACUAAUCGCGGAACUGAACUGGAACCCAGAUGCAGACAAUGACGAGUGAAGAGCAAAGGGGUCUAGACCAGGCUGGUGAAACCCACAGAAACAGCUGACCUGAACAUCGGGUGUUCAUUGGAUCCACUCCUCACAACAUUCUGUCAGAGCCUUUAUACUUCAGCCCCUAAUGGAUGUGCUUCACUCCGUUACUUGGCUGAAGAGAUGGCUUGGCAGUGAAAACACUGGCUGUUCAUCCUAGGACAUGGUUCGGUUCUCAGCACCCACAAGACAGCUCACAGCCAUCCUUGACUCCAGUUCCAGAAGAUAAAAUGCCUUCUUUUGGCCUCUACAG
ensembl:lncRNA